rnacentral:misc_RNA from 1 species
AUGUCUAAAUGUUUUCUCACAGUUUACAACUUGAAAUGUUACAUGGAAUUGAAUGCUCAAAAUACAUUUUCUGGGAACUAGAAUAGAACAUGACACAUGUUCACCUUGCUAUUACAUAAACCCACGCCUUCACCAGCUUCAACAUUGGCAUGAUUGUAUUGUGAAACAAUGUCUGAAGGCAAAUUAAUCAAUAAAACUAAGAUCCUAAAAAUAAUCAUCCCCCAUACAGAGGGUGAAAGAUAGUUUGGUAAUCUCAAUUAGUUAAUGUUUAAAUUAUUGUGACACUUCAUUACAAUUCUGAUCCUCAUGAGAAGGGAAAUUUUUUGGCAAGGUGAACAAUGGUGUUUCUCCAGAUAAUCCCUUUAUUGACAUGGCCAAAGAAUAGCCCAAUGCUCGGGCAACUGGAACUGCAACUGCAUUACCUACUUGCAUGUACCUUUCUUUUAUUGGACCUAUCAACUUGUAGUAGUCAGGAAAACCUUGGAGCCUUGCAUUUUCACGAAUUGUGAGCACUCUAUCUUGUAGUGGAUGUACUAUGGUCUGAUUAUGGGGUUCAGCUCUCGUCACAACUGUUGGGACAGUUUCAUCCCACCACAAACGACCAA